rnacentral:misc_RNA from 1 species
AAGUCGUAACAAGGUUUCCGUAGGUGAACCUGCGGAAGGAUCAUUAACAGGGUUAGAAAACAAGCACAGUGCACCAACAGGGGAGACGACUCAAGAAAUUUCUAAAGGUUAUAGUAAAUAAAAAAACAACUUUUGGCAACGGAUCUCUAGGCUCUC